rnacentral:rRNA from 1 species
CCGCGGAAAGCUCAUUAUAACAGCUAUAGACUACACGGUAAAUAUUUUAGUUGGAUAACUGAGGUAAUUCUUGAGCUAAUACACGCUUUUUAUACCACAUUAGUGGUGCGUUUAUUUGAUUAAACCAUUCUUUCGGUUGACUCAAAAUAUCCUUGCUGAUUUUGUUAUUAAAACAUACCGUAUGUGUAUCUGGUUUAUCAACUUUCGAUGGUAGGGUAUUGGCCUACCAUGGUUGUGACGGAUAACGGAGAAUUAGGGUUCGACUCCGGAGAGGGAGCCUGAGAAACGGCUACCACAUCCAAGGAAGGCAGCAGGCGCGAAAAUUACCCAAUUUUAGUUCAAAGAGGUAGUGACGAAAAAUGACAACCAAAUAUUAUUAUUAAUAUUUGGAUUGAAAAUCUUCAAGUUUAAAUAAC